GCUGCAUAAUCUUUAGCAAACUGUUGUGUGCUAAGCCUGAGGGUGCGGGGCGGGGGGGUUGUAUCUGCUUCCCAGUGAUUUACGUAGGAGCUGCUGCAGAGGAGCAGGCAAAGUCCACACAAAAUGCUGGAUGGCAGAUCGCAUUUUGGCUGUGCAUUAAAUCAUCUGCAACUGGGAGACAACAGGAUUUUAACAGCGUAAACAAGAAAAAAAAACACACACAUUGAGAGCACACAUUGCUGUUAACACGGUAGCAGAGAAUAUGUUUCUACAGGAAAGUGAGCAUUGGUUAAGAGAAAAGCUCUUUUCUGAUUUACCUGCCAGCCUCAAACAACACCCUCUUUCUUCGCAUUAGAAAUGGAAACACGUCCUCUGCAGGAAUUUUCCACUUAAUAGCUCCUGCUUUCCUACCGGGGGCCUCAGUGCACCACCACUGCAAUGCUGUAUUUCUUUCCACUGCAGUUUGACAUUUUGCAGCCAGAACAACGAGCGGCAUUCACUCCAUCCUGAUUUUUGGAAAACAUAUCUCUAUAGGCACACAGAGAGCACCCAGUGCAGUAAUCACCACGGGGAAAUGGCAAAGACACUAGGAAAAACAUGUUUGUGGUAAUAUCAAGAUUCCCGGAAUAGAUUGUACAGUUUUUCAGUUGAAAUUGCAACGUAUUAGACAAAUAGCCCUGUCUUUUCCUUCCACCCAUCACCUCGGCUUCACUGAAAUAUUUCUUGGAGGGCUCCAGAGUUUCUGCUGAGCUGAAGGCACCUCAUCCAUCCCACUUCUGCUUCAGUGUUUUGAGAGCAACACAUCACCAGGGCACCAGGCAGAGAUGUCAGGAGUCUCUAUCACACUUGUUUAAGACAGUCAGAAGAAACAGGCAUAAAAGGACCAGGCAAGCUGGAUGGAGACCUAAUGGGAAAACAGAAGGGUGAAGGUCAUAUUUAUCUUUGUGAAUCUACAGGGGUUUACACCAUGGAGCUCAGCUUGCUGACAAACAGGCCAUUGCAGGAGCACUCCAGCUGUGAACACGGAGAGCAAGAACAUGCCAGCUGAGCAGAUUUGCAUAUAUGGUUCUAGAAGGAUUGAAAAAUAAAUGCCAAGGAGAGUACCCACAGAGGAGACCCUCCACUAUUCCAACAGAAGAUUACAGACUUUCAAUAGGUUAACGUGGCAUGCCCAGCAGCCCUUCCCUGCUAUGGAAGUAUGUAGUCUGGCUGGAAAUAUCACACCACUUUUUCCAUGAUGCAAAUGAUAGUUGCAUUCAACAUCUCUCUCAGUGCCUCAGAAAAGUUCCUCUGGAACACAAUUGAGUCAACUCCUACUGAACACCUUAAGACACUCCAGAAUGAGCUUAUUUGUAUUUACAGGUUAUCAAAAUAAAUGCCAGAAACAUCAAAUAAUGUAUGCUUUCCAAGGGAGGUUUCUGUUUGGUUUCUUUUCAACAUUGCCUGCUUUCCAAAUCUAACACCACUUGAAGUCUGACCGAGGCUUUUUCAAACCAAAGCCUGCUUCCUACGUCUCUGCUUUCAGCCUCUGAGCUAUUAAUCAGCCUUCAUCUCACUGCCUUGCUUCCCUUGGCCUUUAAUGGUUACUGGGGUGGUUAACCCAAAGACAAAUGGUGUUCUAGGUGUGUUAGUUGUGAGGUCCAAAACUGGACUCACCCAGCCACUUCUCUACAAAACUUUACCCACAAUGAAAAACACUGAGGAUGUUCUCAUUUCAAGUGACUGUCAACCAGCAACAACCACGACCUGCAAAAAGUUGUAGGGGUACCUGUUGCUUUAAACAAGCUUGGCAGACUGAUGCAGAAAAAACAUUAUUUUGAGCUCGCCUAACCAAGGGGAUUGCAUCAAUAAGCACCAGGGCAUGGACACUGGCUCAUUUUGCUGCUGGCUGAAAGGGCAGAUUAUGAACAAAAUUGUUUCAUAUGGAGCUCCCUUUUCCCAGUGUCUUACCUCAGCACACAGAGUUUCAGGGCAGGCUGAUAAACCUUCCCAUGGGCAAAGUGUGAGCCCAGCUAGCGGAGCAGUGCCUGCCCUGACCUCUGCCAAGUGCUCCAGCGCCUCAGGGUGAGCAGCCAAGGCACAGGGCAAGCUCACAGCCACGGGCCACAUGCCGAAAGUGGACCCAGAGCCCUUGGGAUGGGCGCCUGCCUGCCUUGCUCUACCUACUACAUGUGCCCGAGUCGAGCAUACAGGCAGGCAGGUGCAUCAGCAUUUCCUUUAUUAAAAAUCAGAACCUAGGUCAAAAUGCUAUUUUGUCAAUAGGAAGUAUUCGGUUCUGUUCUUACCAUUAAUUACUGAUAUUCCUAAGGGCGUUAUCCAGUGGGCCAGAGGGGACUCAUAAAGAACACAUGGCUAUCCAAGUACAUCUGUCAUUAUUGCAUUACCUAUUUUCACUGCUUUGUGGGUACUGUGUAUAAUUUACAUUUAUUUGUUAAGGCUUGUGCUGCCUGUAGAGAUGAGGGUAGGUAAGUUUGCCAUAGGAAGGAUCCACCUCUGUAUGGUGAACAAUUCCUCAUCCGUCUCCUGGUUUUCCAUUGCUUGAUCUCACAACCUGUCCAACAUCUUAGAUGCCUUGACAUCUACCAAAGAGCUCAUUAGAACAAAGACAGUUUGAUCUUUAAAAAAAAGAGUAGCAGAUGGCAGCUUUGCUAGGGAUGAGUGUUUCUUGAGUACUCCUGGGUACUCCAGGAGGGCAAAUCUUGGAAUACACUUCUUCCCUUGAUAGCUCAGCCUCCUUCUCCAGCAGCCAUUGGUGGUGGUGGUCUUGCAGCUAAUGAUGGAGAACAACAUGGAGGCAUCUUCCCUGGUAGAGCUCUCCCUGGAUCAGAUCACAUCUGGUGUCAGAGCCAACCAUCAUGGACUUAGGUUUCCAUCUAAAAACUCUACAUUUUAUCUGCUUAUUAAUAGACAACAAAACCUUAACCCUCAGCAUUUUUUUUUCUUUCCCUUCAUUCCCAGUACAGAUUAAAACAGGCUUUUAAUGUUCCUAAAAUACAGGCUGUCUCACCAGGCCCUCCAUCCCUGGAGGAUGAGCUGUCUUUGGGAGAUCACCUGCCUUUCAGCUUGAGUUAGUCCCUGCCCUGGCUGUGCAGGGCAGGCAGCUUGAAGGCAGCGCUAAUCAGCCAAACAGCAGCUGAGAGCAGGGGGCAGCUUGGCAAGCAGCGUGUGGCCAACAAGACGGGAUUGAAGGGAGAGGAGGAAGGGACUGUGGCUCUGUGUAGCAGUGCAGAUAACAUAUGCUCAGAGCCAGCCCUGGAUGGCACAAAAGGUCUGGAGUAAGACAGUUUUUAGAUCUUUUAUUGCAGCCAAUAUUCUGUAAUAUUUCCACACCAGACAAAUCUUGUUUUCCAACAGCUCUUUUCGAAGGAAACCCUGUCCUGAUCAUCCUAUAUCAGGCACAAGAUGAUGGCCUCAAAGUAGGAUGAGCAUCAACACAAACUAUCUUCAUCCUAAUCUUGACACUGUGAAAAACCAUUAGUGUUGGGAGUGACACAGCAAAGGACAUGAGAAAUCCUAAGGUUCAACGUACUUGGUUAGCAUCUCUUGGGAGUGGGGAUCUACAAGUACUACUGCCUUUCCAUCUGCCUUCAGGCACAUAGCAGUGCAAAGACUUAAGUAAAAUUUUUGGUAUUCUUGUAGACAGGGGAAGAGAGCUGUACACUCAAAUCAUCAUGAAGAAAUUCACACUUGCUUAUGCCAUACUUGUACUUGAUAAGACUGCUCAGAGAUGAUACCUUUUCUUUCUUAUGAGUUUGCUUGCAUAAAACUAAUUCUAAGUUCAGAUUGUACCUUGGGAAGGUGGUGCAAAGUAGUAGAUUUUUUCUAUUUCGUUGAUAUUUCUUUUAUUUGGACAAUGCUGAAAACAUGCUAGAUGUCUGUUGUACAAGCAUGCCCAGGUUAAAAACAACAACAAUAAAUAAAUUUUUUAAAAAAAGUAUAUUGAAUCAUUUACAGAGAACAGGUUGGUGCAGACUUUCUGAUGGGGUAAUCACACGGGGAGAAAGGAUUAAUGUCUCUGCAUUAUUAAGCUUUGGUGUGCUUGUCAUAACCUUCUACCAGCUUUUGCAUUUGCUGACUAAAACCUGGCUACCAGAUGGCAUUAUUUGGCUUUGCCUAUGCUUCUGAGACACCCUAGCAUCAUCCUGUAUUGUAUCCAGAACCCCUUGGUGUGUUGUUAUACAGUAAGAAGAGCAAGUCUGGCACCUUUCAUUAGCAAACCAUGCAAUAAAUAGCACGAGAUCCACAGGAACAAGCUGAUGCUGUUUAGAUGCUCAUUUAAGUCUAGCAUUUUUCUGACCAAUCUUCUCUAGAUUUUUAUUUAUACAAUAAUUUCAUAUGUCUAUUUUAGUUUCUGAUUAUUUUUUUCUGUUUACCUUCCUGCACCAGGAAAAGCAGGCAUAAAAGCUUCAAUCAUCUAAUUUCUCUCCCAUUAGUUUUCUGUUUUUGUAAUUCUAAUGCCAGUAUUGAUUGAAGUUAACCCCUCAAUUUGCUGGUAUAAAUUGAAAGUAAAUUGGCCCUGAUAUAUUUCCCAUUGUCUUCCAGGUAUUUAUUUCCUGCAAUGUUUUUUGGUCCUCUGUCUCACCCCAGUGAUACCUGUCAAUAUUUUUUGGCUUUUUUCACACAUUAUACAAAACCGUUCAGCAAAACUAAUUUUUGAAAACAGAAUUUUCCUCUUAUUAAGACUUUGUGGAGCAAAUCAUGAGGUUGAGAAGUCGUGGUAUUUCAUAAUCAGUUAAGCAAUCAUCCUCGCGUACUACUGAUAGCUACAUUUUCGUUCUAUUUAUAUUCUUCCUAUAUUCUCUAUUCUGCUAAGUCUGAGGCAACCCUUUAUAGCACUGACUGCUGUUGUGAGCUCUGCCUUCCAUCUCCCAGCUAGCCGAAGUACCCAUGGCAGUCUACACAGUUGUUUUUAGCAGUUCUGGGCAAUGAUCACAUCUAUGAAAAGUUCCAGAACAUCUUUUAAAACUGGAGGCUAGCAA